GACAGAGGGGGCAAGCGUUGCUCGGAAUCACUGGGCGUAAAGGGCGCGUAGGCGGGAUGGCAAGUCGGUCGUGAAAUCCCUCGGCUCAACUGAGGAGAGUCGGCCGAUACUGCUGUUCUUUGAGGGAUGGCAGAGGAGACUGGAAUUCCCGGUGUAGCGGUGAAAUGCGCAGAUAUCAGGAAGAACACCCGUGGCGAAAGCGGCGUCUCUGGAACGGUACUGACGCUGAGGCGCGAAAGCCGUGGGGAGCAAACAGG
rnacentral:rRNA from 1 species